CCCUUAGAUGUUCUGGGCCGCACGCGCGCUACACUGACGGAGCCAGCGAGCGUGUCCUUCGCCGAAAGGUGCGGGUAAUCUUGGCAGCCUCCGUCGUGCUGGGGAUAGAUGGUUGCAAUUAUUGAUCUUGAACGAGGAAUUCCUAGUAAGCGCGAGUCACCAGCUCGCGUUGAUUACGUCCCUGCCCUUUGUACACACCGCCCGUCGCUACUACCGAUUGGAUGGCUUAAUGAGAGCUCUGGAUCUCUGCCGGCGCGGUCCUCACGGGUCGCGUUGGAUGGGGAGAAGUUGCUCAAAUUGAGUCUUCUAGAGGAAGUAAAAGUCGUAACA
rnacentral:rRNA from 1 species